rnacentral:rRNA from 1 species
GACGUAGGCGGCCAGGUAAGUGGGGCGUGAAAUGCCUCGGCUCAACCGAGGACCUGCGCUUCAAACUGCUUGGCUUGAGUCCGGGAGGGGAGACGGGAAUUCCUGGUGUAGCGGUGAAAUGCGCAGAUAUCAGGAGGAACACCGGUGGCGAAGGCGCGUCUCUGGACCGGUACUGACGCUAAGGUCCGAAAGCGUGGGGAGCAAACA